GUUGGUACGACUCUUUAAAAACAGAUUAUUAUGAAGAUGGGAUAAUCUACGCGUGAAAGGAGACUAACUGGCAAAGUAAACAAAUAAAUAAAAAGUAACUCUGAGUGACAGGUCGUUGAGCCGGAGUUAUUGAUAGAUUCCACAAAGCGAUACCGUUGGAUCGAUGUCUCCCCGCCGAGGGGUCCGCAGCCCCCCACCAGCUAAAGCUCCUAACACCUCUGGACGACGACGACACUCGAAAAAGAAGAGAAAACAACCUCCCC
ensembl:lncRNA